CCAUUCUGGUAGGGGCAGGGGUGAACUUUAACGAAGUAGUGGAAGCAAAAUUACAGUGUCAUUGGCACAGCAGAGUCGAAAACCAAAGACCGUCGUCAAGAUGACGGGUAACUCCAGAUGUAAAUAAACUGUGUGCGAGACUGUGGAGUUGAACUGAACGGCUGCCCUCCCAACGUCUUCACGGUGCACCGUGGCAGUAAGCAAGGGCAAACCUUGGACUCCAUCGCUCGCUUUCCCACUUAUUCUGGAAGCUACGUUCUUCGGCGGGGACGCUUCUGUGUGCCUGGCUUGCAGCUUCCACGUUCCGAGGAACCGACCCACGUUGGACGACCUUUAUCUUCGGCCCCAGAGGCCUGGAAGCUAACUGGUUGUCUGGUCAAGGCUGGACUAGGGCGAAAAACCCAGCUAAAUGCCAGCUGAUGGCACUCCGUUAUCCAGAGUACCACAGUCACAGCAACUGGUGCGUCUGCAUGAUUUUUAUUUGUGGGUGCGUGUGCGAGUGUCUCCAUUCUUAUACUCAGGUAUCGGCGUUCCUGUAUAAAGCUGGGCUUAGUAAAAAAAACUUUCGUAGUCAUUUACAUUAUAAGAUUCUGUGAGAAUACUGGUACAAGUGACUAAACAUUUAAUUGGCAUCCACUAAGGUGAGGGACAGUACGGGAACGUGGCGAAUGCUUCGGAUCACAGGCGGCUUUGUGCGUGUGCAGAUUUCACGUUCUCCUCCUCGUCUGUGUGCUCUCUCUCUUGGUAGCCCGGUUACGUUCCAUGAUUUAAAUGGAUGUGUGUCUAUAAUUUGCCCCAAGAUUCUCUGGCAUCCAGGGUGUACCCUGAAGUCUCCGGAACACCCUCCGGAACACCCUCCAAGUCCGCCACGACCUUGAAAUGGGGGGAAAACAAAAUCCGGAAGGCGGACAGAUGUAUAGAUGACUAAGGUGGUGUGAAAGUGCAUCAACUGUGGCACUAUACAGUUUUUUUAAAUUAUGAUGAAAAAAAAAGUACUUUUCCAUCUUGUCCCAACAUUUCUUUUAAAUCACGACUUCAUGCAAAAAAAUGCUUCUCUGAUAUAACUGGAGUUAGAAAUCCGUGGUUGUAUCUGUACAAUUUCUACAAGGUUCACGAAGCCGACAUGAAUCUCAAGCAUCAUCUCAGCAAUGAGUCCACAUAAUGCGUUCUGAUAGACCAAGAGGCACCAAACCCUGCAUGCGUGACACUUUAUGUUAUACCCAUUAUGAACAAGCAAUUAAAAUGAUAAUUAUUCGACAUAUUCCUUUUUUAACGAUAACCCUCAAGUCUGAGAAACACUACAAUACUGCUGCAAUUUAUAAAAUAAUGCAAAGGGGGUAGGUGACACAGAUAAUUAAACCAGAGCAAUGGCCGAACGAAAUCCACCACAUGAAUGGUUGACCAGUAAUGGAAUCCUUGGAAUUUAAAUCACAUUCCUUGUUUGCAUGGAAUUGCUCGUUCUAACUGUAACAUUUACUCUGCCCUCCUUAAGAGAUCCGGGACAUAUGAGGAACAGGGAUGCAAAUACGAAAACAAAACGACAGGGGUGUAAACCCUAACCCUUUACGUUACAAUAAAGACUGAUUUUUUUAACACACACUGGUUUUUGAUUGGGCCCUAAAACGUAACACAGACUUAUAAAUGGAUACAAUACAACACAGUUUGGCCCAAUUUUAACGAUAUAAACAAACUAUCCUUUCUUAAAACAAUAUUAAUUGAACUGUUGCUUACACCAGCAUUGUGUCCUGUUUUAGCCCUACUAAACGAUCACAGCGUGAAGAAACUCGACAUUGCAAUUCACCAAAAGUUUUGAAAUGUAGUGUGCCUGAAAGGCAGACUUGGUGGUUCAAAAUUGAAGUGGUUCACUUUUGGUCCAAAAUUUGAUCUAACAAAUACUGGGGCAUCAGUGGAAUGAGAAGGAUAUUCACACCAGACAAAACAGGCCGUAGGCCCAAAAAUCACCACCUUUCAAAUUGGGUGCAUCUGAAGAAGCAGCCAUCUGAGAUUUCACAGUUCUGGCGCAUCAGCCUGAAGGCCUGGCCAGGACGCUGUCAGGCGAGACAAUGGGCCCCCAAGAUCAAGUUCCGUCAAAUCCGUUUUCCAGCUACCCAUCACUAACGUAAUACACCGGCUUUUCUGCUGCAUGCCUGGUCUACUGGAAUUUCAUAGUUUACUGUAAGUGGGGCUGAAUCUCCACACAUCACUUUCGCAUGUCUCCUGAGAUAAGUUCUAGAUCUGGGACGUUCCUGAAGGUGCUGGCUGAGCUGGAGCAGAAUCAGCAUAAUAAACCACAAUGAUGCCGCUUCGAACGAAAAGAGGUGUCGCACCAGCCAGGGACGAAAGGCACAUCACUGCAACUUGCCAAACUUCCAAGCGGUUUUCGGGAGACUCAGAAGAGGGGAUGAGCAGCGAAGGAGGGAUCCGUCGGUGUCCGGAGAAAGAGGCUGAAGGAAGAAAAGGGGUGGAGGAGGGGGAGGUGCAACAGUACAGUACAUCCGGGAACCUGCGCC